UCCUCUUCUCUCCCGCCUGUCAUUUGCGUCUCUUUCCCUCUCUCUCUCUCACGCUCGAUCUCGUUCGGCUAGGUGGAGAGAUGUGGUCCCCGUCUCCAUCGAGGAAGCGCGAUCGCAAUGAAGACGAAGCUCGAUCGAAUCCUCUCUUCUCUUCGCCGGAAUUGAGCUUUGCCGCGGCGGAGCAGUCUCGAGCUCGUCCCGACGCUUCGCGCAGGUUUUAUUGGAACAGAGCUCUUGACUCCACACCAUUCGUCCACUGGAGAAGUUAAAUGUUCCUUACGAGGGCAUGAUGUUGGAUGAACUUGAAAAACCUCCAGUUGGUCUCCUGUAUCCUCUCUGUUGGAUCCCACUCUGUAUUGACUUUCUAUACCUGAGGGUGUCUUUGGCGUCAUUUUCUAUGGCUUUGAUUUCUUUAGGGCUCAGACGCUUGAGUAUUAUUUAUUUAUUAGUAAAGGUUGAACCUCGUGAUUGAUUACAUUUUGGGGAUUACCAUGGCACUUGAAUGACCAUGAAGACUAAUUUAAACAUGGGAGGACUAUUUAAUUAUAAAUCUUUGAUGAGUUCUAGCCUCUAGAAUUCCUCACAAGAUUGUUUAUCUUGGGGCAUGGCUUAAGCCAAAUAAAUCUAUUUGGGCUAUAAGAUGGAUAGGUUUGUUUUCUAUCUUGAUCCCUUUGGGCUAGUAGUAUCAAGGUAGGAUUAUAUUUUUGGCACUCCACCAGAAAAUGUUACCAAGUGGGAUCCUGCCAAGUUGGGUAUAGCUGAGAAAAUGUUGAGAAUGCUUUCUCGUGGAGGGUUACAUUAAUUAAAGAAUCUUAUUCUUUGCUAUAGCUUCCUGUGUGAAUAUUAAAUAGCUUCACAUCAAUGCUCAUGAGUCUAGUACUUGAACAAUGCAUUUGCAGCAAAAUCUCCCAUAUUUUGUGGCUGUCGACAAGGCUCUCUUCAACUGCUUUACUGGCAUGCUUAAAAUGCAGUAUAUGCUGAUCUUGGAUAGGGAGGACUACCUUACCGAGUUCGGAACGCAGUGCAUGAUGGACAAACCCAGUUGGAUUGUAUUCACUUCCUGGUAUGUUUUCAAGAAAUCACUCGAUCCUUACUACAUCAUAUGUUGAUGAAAGAUAUAAAAUUAAUCAUGGGGUCAAGUGAUAAACAAUGCCAUGAAAGACAUCAAAUUACCAAAUCUUGUGAUUGAAAUUGUAAAAUGAAGCUUCAACUUGUUCUUGUUUGUUAUGGUAAGUUGCAGCGUAUCAGCUUCAACAUUAUUUAGCAGAUUCUAUUGUAUUCUAAUUAUGACGUUACUAGGUGGCAAAUCUUAAUGGUAGGUGUGGCUUUUGGUUUCUAAAUACACAAUACCAAAAUAUCUCGGUGCCGCUCUAUAUUCUCUACUUUCGCUGUUUCUGGCAAAACUUGUUAUCGUUCUUAAGGGAAUUGAUAAAAUGGUUUAGCAAGUGCAAUCAAUUUAUAUUCAAGAUUCAUGUCACAGUAAUGAGGCUCUAUGGGCGAAAGAAGCCAUUAUAUGCAAAGGUCAAAGUGUCUAUGAAUUCUAUAGAAAUUUAGAUAGUCCUUUGAAUAUAAAAUUUUCAGCUUAUUUUCAAUUAAAUAAUUUCGCGAGCAUGAAUUCGCACAAUUCUGGUGUAGAUUGUUGAUUUCAUUUUGUUUCUGAGAUCGAAGUUUAAUAUUCAACCCAGAAACAUCCACUACACCUGUUAGAUUACAUCAACUUUAAAGUUAUCCAUCUGGAUUGCAGUUGGGUCAUUAGCUAUUUUAGUUGAGGCAUGUGCUUCAUCUCCAGUUGGAUAGUACGUUCAGAGUCUCUAGCAUCUUCCCAGUUGUCCCUGCAUAAAGAAAAACAUAUGUUAAAGUCUUAAUAUACAAGGUAACUUCUGUUCUCAUAAGGAAAGGGGAGGACUGUCCACUGUUGGAACAGAGAUUAAGCAGAAAUAUGUGAGUAUAAUUCUUUGUAUUCAUGAGCUUCUGAUCAUUAAAUUAUUCUGUGAACAUUAUUGUUGCCCCUGGCUUGGAAAAUCUUAGUGUAUUGCCUUUUGUUCCCCAAGAACAAUUUGUCUCUCUGGUGGCCUAAAAACCUUUAAUUAAUAGUUAAUGUGAGGCUAAGUUUUACUGGAAAGAGCGAUCUGAAGAUGUCAUUAAAGGUACUUUGCAUAUUUCAUGAUGUCGGCCAUAUUGUACGGAAGAAAUAAAAAUUUUGGACAGAAGAAUUUGAGAUUUUCUAGUGCCUUCCAUGAUAAAAUGGCAGGAAGAAUGCUACUGAUCUGACUAGGAUGAUUUCUUUUUUUAAAGAAACUUUGAAAUUCAUUCAUUCUGCAGGUUCUCUUUGUUUAGAGAAAAGCAGCAUCUGUAAUUUUCUCAUCAACUCUUCUAGUUCAUUAGACACUUGAGUCUGCCAUUCGCAGUUAACACUUGUAGUCAUGUUCUUCGCCUGGCAAAAAUGAUCAAAUUUUACGUCAUUAGGAGAGAACAUUUGAAUGCCCGUUGUGUUUAUUACCUUCAUGAAUUUUUUAUCUGUUUUAGCUCAUAUGGCUGUUUGCUGCUGCAACUUCGUCUGGGCAUUCUUGAUGUUUGUUGAAAACAGCAGAAGCUUUAAAAUUAUCUGUGGGCAUUGCUGCAUCAUGUGAUUGUCCAAAUGUAAAGCUGAAAGAAAUCUCAGUAUAUUGACAUUUUCCAUGUGGUUGAAUCGUCUAAAAGUUUUUUGUGCGAUGCGAUUCUUAAUUUCCUAGGAGAAUGAUAGAUCAAAUACAUGUGCCUAUGUUUCCACUCUGGUUUCACUAAGCAUUGCAUAAUGAUAUUUCAGAUUUUGAACUGAUUUUCUUUGUGACAGUUAAUGCGAUUCUCGUGGGCUUCUAUCAUUAUCAGAUGGAUGCUCAAGCUAAUCUAGUCGACCAUUUUGAACAUGUCUCUGGCUGAAUAAGUUUUGGCUCUUAUACAACAUCUCAGUCAAAGAAACAUUACUUUGUUUGCAUGGUCCCUCGAUGGAGACUCAAUAAUGUCCUUCUACAUUCGUUGCACCCGGUUUGCUAAUGCAGCUGCAAUCUGCUUCAACAUUGGUUAAGUAGAAUUUGGUCAAAAAUUUCAUAAGCAUGCCGACCUUCAAAGAUUGAAAUACAUGUUGAAAAAAGAUAUAUACCGUAAGUUUGUAGUUCUUGAUGAUGUCUCACAGUUCUGAUAAUGCGGCUGGCUUAGUUGGAGAUGGAUAGGUACUUGAGCAUCUUCAUCAAUGUUCGGUCCAUUUGGUAGAAGACUUGUGCGUGCUCCAUUUACGUUAUUUGCAUCUCUUGUGCCAUAAACCUGGGACAUGGAUUGUUUUUUGUUCAGACCAAGUACAGAAUCUGAGGUAAAUAACUUUGACAGAACUUUGUAGCGUUAAGAUUAAUACCUUCUUGUACAAUUCCACAUUCUCUUGUUUAAAUAGACUUUCUUUCUUGUGCAAUUCCAAAUUUUCCUGGUGAAGGAGGUUUCCCUGCAGGGAUUUGUGAUUGAAAUUUAGCAGCCUGAAUGAGGAAAAAUAGUAAAGUUAGCGGUCUGACUGAGUUAAAUACUUUACCUUUCUGUUCAGCUCUUGUAUUUCUUCCAUUAAAACUUGGUCCUGCAAAAGUAUGAAGUCUGCUUGUUAUGCAAGAUCCUUAGAAGCAAGUUGGAUUGAUCCUAUGAAUCAGCAUGUAAGAAGUGAACCUUUUUUGUGCGGACGCCACGGAGACUUAUCUCCAAUUGGUUCUCCAAAUUCCGCAAAUCUUUGAUGCCCAAGCCUGAGAGUUCUUCUCCCAUCAUUUGCCUGUCAGUGUCGUGCGGGAGUAUAGUUUAGCUAGCAAGUCUAUCAUCUGACUGUCACAGAUUCUUGUGGAGGGGAGUAAGAAAUGAAAUCAAAGACUCAUAGGUGCAAAUCUGUGACAUAGAGGUUUCUCAGGGUCUGCAAAACGAAGCUCUUGAUUUCACAACCCUUGAGUUCAAUCUGUCCUCACACUAAUGGCUUUUCUUUCUGAAACAUGGUUCGUAUAGCAACAGACUCAUUUUCUUCCCAUGAUGCAGAUGACAAACUGCUGCCCCGUCUGCAACUUUUAUAGUUCCGUUAUCGUAUGUCUUGCCUCUCUUUCCAUUUACCUUCUCCUUAUGAAUAUAGGAUGUUGAGCCCUGCCGUAAUUCAAAAAUCAUGGGGGGAGUUGUGUGCUUUAAGAAAUGUUCCAUGUUUUAAAUGCAGUCGUGAGGCCUUUAGCUGAACUGGAUCCUUCCAAAUAGAGAUGGAAUUCCAGGAUCUGAAGACCUACCUUGGGAUAGCAAAGUAGAUUAGGUCAUGGUGUUUUUAGGGAAAAAAAAAAAAACUUUCGGACCCCUUUUAGUGGUAUGAAUGGGUUUCCUGUUACCGAGUUCUAUGUUAACGAGAUUUUAUCCUUUAAAAAUGGCGUCCAUGUGUUUAUUAGUGCUAAAAGUUGCACGGUCAGCAUUUUGCUCAUUUGGAACUCUAAUUCUUUUUUAAAUGCCCAGAGAGCGGUAGGGUCGGAAUACGGAACCAGCGAGUUGUUGUUUCCAAUUAUUCUUUCUUGUUUCUGGAUGUGGAGAUGCACAAGGGGUUGAAAAUCUAAUACGUCCUUUUCUUUAGCAAGUUCAAUUAGGAAGUAGUUGCAUAGGAAGCAUGAGGGACCCCGGGUGCUUAGCUUUUCUGUUUUCGUGUCAAUACAGAGAGUAAUAUCUCUAAUUCAAUGUGGGAAAGGCCUGCUACAGAUCAAAACCGUUGCAAAGGGGUUUCCAAUCAACGAUAAUUUAGCUUUGAAAAAUUGUGUUCUAUGUUUAUCAUGCCAGAGACAUCAAUAUGUUUUCCUUCUGUAUGAUUCUUUUGUCCAGAUAUUAAUGUUUUCACCUUAUUUUGUACCUUUAAUGGGUGCACCAUGUGUUAGCGUGAUGCUUUUUAGGCGUGACUGGUAAAGUUUAGCAGAAAAGUCAUCGUCAUCUCCGGGCACACCAUGGAAGCAUUGCUAUAAGAAAAUGUAAAGAAAAUGCUCGAGAAGAGAAGACGUACCGAUGAUUUUCUCGGAGUUGCUGCAGUUGUUGCCUCAAUAUUGCUGCUUCCCUUUGCCAAUACUGCCGAAUAAACAAGUACGACUAGUGAUAUGCCGGGAUUUGGGCGGUUGAAAUGUCUGACAAUGUCGAUGUACUAGAAGGGAGUAGUGUAUAUGUGAAACGCAUGGUCAUGACAAUCAAAAAGUCUCUCCAGGUAACUAUAGAAUGAUUUUCCUAAGUCUGUUGCUUUUUCUAAACUUUGGUGAGUUCAUGUAUGAAAUGACAAUGCAAUAAUGUCAACUCAACAGGACUUAAAGCGAAGAACUUAAGUAUGUAUCUAUCCAUCGAAAAUGAUUGAAAGAUCGAUAAUUUGCUUCCACAUAUGCAAACAAGAUAGCACUUGCACGAAUCACUAAUUGUCAUUCCUCUCUCGCUCCCUGGCACCCAAAGCUCGUAAAUAUUCAAGAUAUUGAGUUUGCGUCAUCUAAGACCACCAUGCCAUGUUUUGGGGCGAGAAAUUACUUUGACAGCGGUUUUUGUAACAAUCCUCAGCCUGGGGCAAACUUAGUUUUUCUUUUCUUUUUUGGGUCUUUCUACGAAUUUCCCCAGCUUUCUACUAAGUUGAAAUGUGGGGGCGAACCCAGUUUUUUCUUUUCCUUGAUUUGUCAUAUUAAUCAAUUUAUUAUGAUCGUAUUUUGCCUAU